UGGGGAAUUUUGGACAAUGGGCGAAAGCCUGAUCCAGCAAUGCCGCGUGUGUGAAGAAGGCCUUCGGGUUGUAAAGCACUUUUGUCCGGAAAGAAAUCCUUGGCUCUAAUACAGUCGGGGGAUGACGGUACCGGAAGAAUAAGCACCGGCUAACUACGUGCCAGCAGCCGCGGUAAUACGUAGGGUGCAAGCGUUAAUCGGAAUUACUGGGCGUAAAGCGUGCGCAGGCGGUUUGCUAAGACCGAUGUGAAAUCCCCGGGCUCAACCUGGGAACUGCAUUGGUGACUGGGCAGGCUAGAGUAUGGCAGAGGGGGGUAGAAUUCCACGUGUAGCAGUGAAAUGCGUAGAGAUGUGGAGGAAUACCGAUGGCGAAGGCAGCCCCCUGGGCCAAUACUGACGCUCAUGCACGAAAGCGUGGGGGAGCAAACAGGAUUAGAUACCCUGGUAGUCCACGCCCUAAACGAUGUCAACUAGUUGUUGGGGAUUCAUUUCCUUAGUAACGUAGCUAACGCGUGAAGUUGACCGCCUGGGGAGUACGGUCGCAAGAUUAAAACUCAAAUGAAUUG
rnacentral:rRNA from 1 species